rnacentral:rRNA from 1 species
GGAUAACAUACCCUUAGGACCGGGAUAACCCUGGGAAACUGGGGAUAAUACUGGAUAGGCAAUUUUUCCUGUAAUGGUUUUUUGUUUAGAUGUUUUUUCGCCUAAGGAUGGGUCUGCGGCCGAUUAGGUAGUUGGUUAGGUAAUGGCUUACCAAGCCGUUGAUCGGUACGGGUUGUGAGAGCAAGAGCCCGGAGAUGGAACCUGAGACAAGGUUCCAGGCCCUACGGGGUGCAGCAGGCGCGAAACCUCCGCAAUGUGAGAAAUCGCGACGGGGGGAUCCCAAGUGCCAUUCUUAACGGGAUGGCUUUUCAUUAGUGUAAAGAGCUUUUGGAAUAAGGGCUGGGCAAGACCGGUGCCAGCCGCCGCGGUAACACCGGCAGCUCUAGUGGUAGCAGUUUUUAUUGGGCCUAAAGCGUCCGUAGCCGGUUUAAUAAGUCUCUGGUGAAAUCCUGUAGCUUAACUGUGGGAAUUGCUGGAGAUACUAUUAGACUUGAGACCGGGAGAGGUUAGAGGUACUCCCAGGGUAGAGGUGAAAUUCUGUAAUCCUGGGAGGACCGCCUGUUGCGAAGGCGUCUAACUGGAACGGUUCUGACGGUGAGGGACGAAAGUUAGGGGCGCGAACCGGAUUAGAUACCCGGGUAGUCCUAACUGUAAACGAUGCGGACUUGGUGUUGGGGUGGCUUUGAGCUGCUCCAGUGCCGAAGGGAAGCUGUUAAGUCCGCCGCCUGGGAAGUACGGUCGCAAGACUGAAACUUAA